rnacentral:rRNA from 1 species
GAUGAACGCUGGCGGCGUGCCUAAUACAUGCAAGUAGAACGCUGAAGGAGGAGCUUGCUCUUCUGGAUGAGUUGCGAACGGGUGAGUAACGCGUAGGUAACCUGCCUGGUAGCGGGGGAUAACUAUUGGAAACGAUAGCUAAUACCGCAUGACAACAGUUAUUGCAUGAUAACUGUUUAAAAGGGGCAACUGCUCCACUACCAGAUGGACCUGCGUUGUAUUAGCUAGUUGGUGAGGUAACGGCUCACCAAGGCGACGAUACAUAGCCGACCUGAGAGGGUGAUCGGCCACACUGGGACUGAGACACGGCCCAGACUCCUACGGGAGGCAGCAGUAGGGAAUCUUCGGCAAUGGACGGAAGUCUGACCGAGCAACGCCGCGUGAGGGAAGAAGGUUUUCGGAUCGUAAAGCUCUGUUGUAAGAGAAGAACGAGUGUGAGAGUGGAAAGUUCACACUGUGACGGUAUCUUACCAGAAAGAGACGGCUAACUACGUG